CUUGUUACAGGACCUAUAAAGUCAAUUUGAAUAUCAGACCAGGGUAAUGACACCCCCCUCUUCUGAAGUGGUGCACGAUGGGUUGGACCAUGGGGUUGAUAUUGCGGACAAAUCAAGCAUCCCUGACAAUAUGUCUUAACAUCCCUUAACAUGUGUGGCCAAUAUGCAUAAUCACGCAAUAUCUCAUAUGUGAUCUUAUCACCACGAUGCCCA